CAGCCACAUCAAAUGGAAACACCGAUUCCCAUACAAUCACAGAUGUUAAGCAAUGUCGAGCCUGGUGAGAACUUAGAAGGGUGGCCACUUGGGAAUACCAGGUGCUAUA